rnacentral:rRNA from 1 species
GAUGAACGCUGGCGGCGUGCUUAACACAUGCAAGUCGAACGAAGCACUUUAUUUGAUUUCCUUCGGGACUGAUUAUUUUGUGACUGAGUGGCGGACGGGUGAGUAACGCGUGGGUAACCUGCCUUGUACAGGGGGAUAACAGUUGGAAACGGCUGCUAAUACCGCAUAAGCGCACAGCAUCGCAUGAUGCAGUGUGAAAAACUCCGGUGGUAUAAGAUGGACCCGCGUUGGAUUAGCUAGUUGGUGAGGUACCGGCCCACCAAGGCGACGAUCCAUAGCCGACCUGAGAGGGUGACCGGCCACAUUGGGACUGAGACACGGCCCAAACUCCUACGGGAGGCAGCAGUGGGGAAUAUUGCACAAUGGGCGAAAGCCUGAUGCAGCGACGCCGCGUGAGCGAAGAAGUAUUUCGGUAUGUAAAGCUCUAUCAGCAGGGAAGAUAAUGACGGUACCUGACUAAGAAGCACCGGCUAAAUACGUG